UACCAGGGCAAAACUUGUGCAUGUAAAUGUAGUUAGUGUGAACACUUAUGUGUGCAAGAGGAGUGUUGUUUGUAGUUGGUGAGAGAGAAAAAUGUGCAUGUGAGUGUUUAUACCCACCACAUAAGAGAGAACAUCACCUGUGACUGGUUACUGAAAAAGAAAAGGAUUCAAACUUGAUGAAUAUACUUUCUUUCACAAACUACAUGUGUGUGUCUGAGUGGAGUCCAGCCAAGCUGUAGGAGAGCGAGAGAGUACCUUAAAAGCACAUGCAUUACCUUCUCUUUUAUUCUAGCUGUUUUUCAUGCUGUCAUUUUCUAGGCUCACACCAUAUCUGAAAAAGAGAAGGAAAGAAGAGAGAUCGAAAGGUACAGGGGAGGAAUUUGCUUGUGUGUGUUCGUGUCUGUGGUCUCCGUACCCCCUGCUGGCGGAACAGAACAUGGACAUGAAAAGAGCCACCAAUGGUCCCAUAUGGCCGUAAGUCUAAUAGUGGUGGUGAGCCAGUUUUUAAAUAAUGUUAUUGUUUUAUUAAAAGUGUUAAUAAUACAGUAUUGUGUCCAAUUGUACAACAUCUGUCUGUCCUUAUGAAGACAAUUAGAACUACUGGACAACUAAUUCAAGACCUUUUUUUGUGAUUUCUCAUUGAGGAAGUCGAAGACAAGAGGAGGCUACUCUCAGUUUAUGGAGAUACUGAUGUUGAGGUCAGUCGGAGGCCACAGAGAGCACACAACACAGUAUCGGGGCUAAAGUGGUGGUCGCAAGGGUAACAUAUCAAAUAUCCAUCAGAGUUCAUCUGACACUGUUCUUUUCCUUUCCUCUUCCUUCCUUCCUUCCUUCCCCCAAUAACACCCGAUCUCAUCAUGCUAUUCUUCCUUGUCCUUCUCUUCCCAUUCUAACAAAGAGUGAACACUGCAGCUUGGAGAAGCUGGUAUCAGAUGCUUUGAUAGGGAUGCCUUCUCUAGAUGAAUUACUCCAGAAAGUCAUUCUCUGGAGAGUUCAUGUCUGUAAUGAAAUUACAUUAGUCAAACAAACUUCUAUGUUAAUGCACUGUCUUAAUAUCAACAGACCAAUUAGUUCAAAUCAGCCUCUUUUAAUGGACAUGAAGCAUUAAGUUGUUUAUACAGUCAAAUAAUAAUAAUAAUAAUAAUAUGAAUUCCUGUUUCCCUAUGCUUACAAGAGCCCCUUUUAAGCUGCAUCAAUCAUAUUCUUUGUGUUUCAUCUGACUUCUGAAAGCAGCAUUCAGGCAUGUGAACUGGAUAAGACAUACUGUAGUGAGCCAUGAGAUCAAUAGAUUUCAAUCUAUGGAUGUUUCAGAAGUUUCCAAGUGAAGAGUUGGUUGUCUGAAAGUGCUGCCCGCUUCACUGAUGCUCAUCAAAGCUGAUGUAACCUUUAGGGAGCACACCAAUUCCACUCAACCAUUACGCUCUGGUGGAUGCAAAUGCUCUGGAAAUCCUCUGUUUGUGUGUUUGAGAGCGUGUGUUCUGGCCUCCUGUCUGAUGUCUGAACUACCAUAUUUAUCCAGAUUAUAUAGAAAUGUUUCUCUUUUUUUCAUUCUCUCGGUCCUUCAGGUUUAUCUUGCAAUCUCACAGAGCUGCACAAAAAUCACAGAAAAUGGAAGAAUAUAAGUGCAUGCUAUAGAAAUAUUCUGAAUGAAAAACUAUUUUUGUAAAUGAAUGUGAAAUGCAUAACAUUGAUCAAAAGUCACAGUAAAGACUUUUACUUAAACUUUUACAAAAAUUCUACUUCAAAUAAUAAAAUGUUGUAUUUUGAUUUUUUUUAUUCAUCAAAGAAUCCUGGGGUGAAAAAAUCAGCAUAUUAAAAUGAUUUCUGAAUUUUCAUCCGAC